rnacentral:rRNA from 1 species
UACGUAGGAUGCAAGCGUUGUCCGGAUUUACUGGGCGUAAAGCGCGCGCAGGCGGCACGGCAAGUAAGGUGUGAAAUCUCCCUGCUCAACGGGGAGGGUGCACUUUAGACUGCCGAGCUUGAGGUCGGUAGAGGGGGGUAGAAUUGCUGGUGUAGCGGUGAAAUGCGUAGAGAUCAGCAGGAAUACCCGUGGCGAAGGCGGCCCCCUGGGCCGUACCUGACGCUGAGGCGCGAAGGCUAGGGGAGCGAACGGG